UACGGGGGGUGCGAGCGUUGUCCGGAAUCACUGGGCGUAAAGGGCGCGUAGGUGGUUUGAUAAGGGUGUGGUGAAAGCCCGGGGCUCAACCCUGGGUCUGCCGUGCCGACUGUCAAACUCGAGGGCUGUAGAGGCAGACGGAAUUCCGGGUGUAGCGGUGGAAUGCGUAGAGAUCCGGAGGAAGACCGGUGGCGAAGGCGGUCUGCUGGGCAGUUUCUGACACUGAUGCGCGACAGCGUGGGGAGCAAACAGG
rnacentral:rRNA from 1 species